CUGGAGCUUGGAAGGAAGAUGGAGGAUACCUUGGAGGGUUUUAGGAAGCCUCUGGAUCCCCGAGUUAACCAAUAGCACGGUCACAUGAUGCAAAGACAAUGAAAAGUAUUUUAUCGGGAGGCACUUUCCAUCUCUAGGACACAUUGUCCUUCUGAAGGAAAUGCAUGCCCUGACCUCCAGAAUGUUGACCCUGAAUUCCAUCUCCAGAUCUUCCUGGAAAAUCAAUACCUUAGCUGCCUGCAUCUUGGAAUUGCUCUCAACCACAGGCCUCUGUUUUUUGAGAACAAAGCAGUAUGAGAGGGUCCAGCCAUUGCGUGGGCCAAGACUCGUGUGGAGGUCAGAAGGCAACCUGCAGAAGUUGGUUUCCUCUUUCUACCAUGUGGGCCAGAGAGGUGGAAUUGAGGUUAUCAGUGUGAGUUUCGAGUGUCUGAGGAGUCGUGGAGUGCAGCAGUGUUGAGCUGCUGUGUGCUCCGAGUUCUUCCUUCCAUGGCAGACUAGAAACCGAAGUCAGCAAACCACUGCCAGCUGCCGGAAUCCCACUGGUGGCUGGUCGAUAGGGCCCGGGCAGGAAUACCACUUGCUAACCAGUCCUAAGAACUGC
rnacentral:lncRNA from 1 species